rnacentral:rRNA from 1 species
CCUAUGGGGCGCAGCAGGCGCGAAAACUCCGCAAUGCGCGCAAGCGUGACGGGGGAACCUCAAGUGCCGUUGGUCUUUUGAUCGACGGUUUUUCGGAAGUCUAAUAAGCUUCCUGAAUAAAGGGCUGUA